ACAUGUUUCUCUUCUUUGUGGGUCCCAUCUUAGUUGUUCCUCAACUUUGUACCGCACUGUAGAAUUUUCCUUUAUUUUCGUUUUUUAAUUUUAUUUUUUUUGACUUUUGUCCUUUGGUUUGCCACCUCCAAAUCUAAACCCUACAAAAUUCCGGAAAAAUAUCACCAAAAAUAUUGUACUCUUAUUUUCUCUCUCUUCUCUACCAUUUUCAUGAACAGCAAAAACAAGAAGGCUUUGAUUCUCAUAAUUAUUCAUCUAAAGAUUGUUUGACGAUGAGAGAGAGCACGCUUAAGCAAGCCUGUCGAGAUUUAUGCAAGUAAUGCAAGUAACUACAGUGUACAUGCGUGCUCUUUCUCAUUGUCAUAUAAUCUAAAGGUGGAGGCAGCUUGUUAUCUUCUAUCCUCAUGCUUCAACAACAUCCACAUUGCAUGAACAAUUGAACAUGUUCGGAAAUUUCUUUGCGCUUCACUCUUAUAGGACAUAAAUGGUGAUUAUAUGCACAGCUUGGCAUCUUCAUCUGAUUUAGGAGAUAGGCCAGUUUACAUUGAGGAGUUUAAUCUUUUUGGUGUAAUUUGAAGUUACAGGUGCCAGAUGGUGGUGUUACAAUAAGGAUAAAGGCGGGUACAUUUUUAAAGCAGUUAAUUUUGCCUGAACAUCAGAUACCUUUCCCUGCACAAACAAAGUAAUAUCUCCCCCCGGUGCUUUGUGAGGACCGAAUCUGGUGUUUGCUGUUUGGAGAGUGGACUUAGUGGAGAUCAAGAGCAUAGUAUCCGACUCGAUCUCUAAAUUUUUGGUUCCCUUCCACAUGGACACUUGCAAUCGGAUUCGUGUCAAAGUUGCACAAGUCGUAUGUGUACUGCAUUUUGUGUAUCUGUGAGACUGACCUGCAGGCUGCAACUCUUGUUUUGCAAAAUUGCAGUUCAAGCUUUGGGGAUGGUCCUUGAGAAGAUGUCCAUUUUGUUUUCCGCCUUAGAUAUGUCGUAUGGGUUUAAGACAUGGCCUGGGCGUGUGAUAUCAGGCCUUUAGUGAGCAAUCACUUGUGCUGAAGUGAACACCACCUUCAAUUUCUUUCUUGGAUGAGAAUAUGAGAUACGCACGCACGUCUAAUCCGGAGUAGAUCAUUCUACACCUAUAAUGUAUCUUAUAACUCGUAUGAUGCCCCAUACUUUGUCAUGCUUAAAAAUAAAUUGUCGGUAUAUGUUAUUCGUAUUUAGAUUGGAAGUGCGAGUAAUUUCAUGAAGCAUUCCAACAUUACUUGAUGACCUAAUGGAAUUAAUUUUGUGUUUUGUAUUA